UAGGGAAUCUUCGGCAAUGGACGGAAGUCUGACCGAGCAACGCCGCGUGAGUGAAGAAGGUUUUCGGAUCGUAAAGCUCUGUUGUAAGAGAAGAACGAGUGUGAGAGUGGAAAGUUCACACUGUGACGGUAUCUUACCAGAAAGGGACGGCUAACUACGUGCCAGCAGCCGCGGUAAUACGUAGGUCCCGAGCGUUGUCCGGAUUUAUUGGGCGUAAAGCGAGCGCAGGCGGUUAGAUAAGUCUGAAGUUAAAGGCUGUGGCUUAACCAUAGUAGGCUUUGGAAACUGUUUAACUUGAGUGCAAGAGGGGAGAGUGGAAUUCCAUGUGUAGCGGUGAAAUGCGUAGAUAUAUGGAGGAACACCGGUGGCGAAAGCGGCUCUCUGGCUUGUAACUGACGCUGAGGCUCGAAAGCGUGGGGAGCAAACAGGAUUAGAUACCCUGGUAGUCCACGCUGUAAACGAUGAGUGCUAGGUGUUAGACCCUUUCCGGGGUUUAGUGCCGUAGCUAACGCAUUAAGCAUUCCGCCUGGGGAGUACGACCGCAAGGUU
rnacentral:rRNA from 1 species